GAUGAACGCUGGCGGCGUGCCUAAUACAUGCAAGUCGAGCGAACAGACGAGGAGCUUGCUCCUCUGACGUUAGCGGCGGACGGGUGAGUAACACGUGGAUAACCUACCUAUAAGACUGGGAUAACUUCGGGAAACCGGAGCUAAUACCGGAUAAUAUAUUGAACCGCAUGGUUCAAUAGUGAAAGACGGUUUUGCUGUCACUUAUAGAUGGAUCCGCGCCGCAUUAGCUAGUUGGUAAGGUAACGGCUUACCAAGGCAACGAUGCGUAGCCGACCUGAGAGGGUGAUCGGCCACACUGGAACUGAGACACGGCCCAGACUCCUACGGGAGGCAGCAGUAGGGAAUCUUCGGCAAUGGACGGAAGUCUGACCGAGCAACGCCGCGUGAGUGAAGAAGGUUUUCGGAUCGUAAAGCUCUGUUGUAAGAGAAGAACGAGUGUGAGAGUGGAAAGUUCACACUGUGACGGUAUCUUACCAGAAAGGGACGGCUAACUACGUGCCGGCAGCCGCGGUAAUACGUAGGUCCCGAGCGUUGUCCGGAUUUAUUGGGCGUAAAGCGAGCGCAGGCGGUUAGAUAAGUCUGAAGUUAAAGGCUGUGGCUUAACCAUAGUACGCUUUGGAAACUGUUUAACUUGAGUGCAAGAGGGGAGAGUGGAAUUCCAUGUGUAGCGGUGAAAUGCGUAGAUAUAUGGAGGAACACCGGUGGCGAAAGCGGCUCUCUGGCUUGUAACUGACGCUGAGGCUCGAAAGCGUGGGGAGCAAACAGGAUUAGAUACCCUGGUAGUCCACGCCGUAAACGAUGAGUGCUAGGUGUUAGACCCUUUCCGGGGUUUAGUGCCGUAGCUAACGCAUUAAGCACUCCGCCUGGGGAGUACGACCGCAAGGUUGAAACUCAAAGGAAUUGACGGGGGCCCGCACAAGCGGUGGAGCAUGUGGUUUAAUUCGAAGCAACGCGAAGAACCUUACCAGGUCUUGACAUCCCUCUGACCGCUCUAGAGAUAGAGCUUUCCUUCGGGACAGAGGUGACAGGUGGUGCAUGGUUGUCGUCAGCUCGUGUCGUGAGAUGUUGGGUUAAGUCCCGCAACGAGCGCAACCCCUAUUGUUAGUUGCCAUCAUUCAGUUGGGCACUCUAGCGAGACUGCCGGUAAUAAACCGGAGGAAGGUGGGGAUGACGUCAAAUCAUCAUGCCCCUUAUGACCUGGGCUACACACGUGCUACAAUGGCUGGUACAACGAGUCGCAAGCCGGUGACGGCAAGCUAAUCUCUUAGAGCCAGUCUCAGUUCGGAUUGUAGGCUGCAACUCGCCUACAUGAAGUCGGAAUCGCUAGUAAUCGCGGAUCAGCACGCCGCGGUGAAUACGUUCCCGGGCCU
rnacentral:rRNA from 1 species